GUUCCAACACCUGCCACUAAGAGAGAAAUUACAGCAAAGCCAAAAUGGAUAGCGAGGCAGGGCGCAGUUGGUCAGUGGUGCAGUUUCAGAACGGUGGCACAGCAGUUGUUCCUGUAAAGUGGUACAACAGGAGAGAACAACUAUUAUCAUGGCCCCCAAAAACUAUAAAGUUGGCAAAGGCAGUGAGAGAGGAGCUGACACCGUCCGAAGACUGGAAACGUUAUCAAGACGUCCGUCUGCUCAAUGUUUGUGGUACCCAUGAUGAAGCCAAACGCCGCGAGAACAAAUAUACAAAAACAAUGUGUUCCACCUCCGCUCUGGAGUCUGAGGAGGAAGAAGACAUACGGAGGAUGAAGAGAAGAUCAAGGCCAAAUCGCAAUUAUAUGGAUUCAGACUCUGACGAGCCAUCAGGAGGAAAAAGACGCUUUGCCAGUCCACCUGAUGUGGGAGAUCCAGAUGCACCGGAUGCCAAUGGCAGCUAUCUGGACGAACUGCUGUCUUCUGAACUUCCAAACAUAAUUGAAACACCAAGGUCCCUUCCCAACAAGUCUGCAAAGACCUUACGGUUUUCACAAAAUGUAGGGAUACCAGCAACAAGCCCCAGAAUUUACCACCAGCUGCAGGAACCACAGCAGAGAACUUCUGUAGGGAUACCAGCAACAAGCCCCAGCAUUUACCACCAGCAGCAGGAACCACAGCAAAGCACUUCUGACUUCACCGGGAAUAGAGGACCACUUUUGAAAGAACUCACCAUUGAAAAGAUGCUGGCAGAGGUCUUGGUGACUGUGAAAGAGCUGUCCAGGGAGGUUCAUUUUUUAAAAAAUGAGCUAGCCGACAUUAAAACCACCCUGGGCGAGAGUCAGGGCCAACCCGAUUUGGCCCCAGCAAAUAAACUGCCAAUGCAGUCAAUGGAAGACUUCAAUGAGGUUCAAACUUCAUUGAAGUCAGACGUUUCGGUCCGGCAAAAGAUGAUUGCUCGUUUGGCUUCAGUGGGGGGAACCUCAUCUGAAGCCAUGAUUCGAAGAAUGCUCGGUUCUUCUAUCAGCAACUCCCUGGCAUGUGACUUCAAUUGGGCAGGAAAAGGGACCAAGCAGGCAUUUAGCCAAACCAUUAUCCAGGACUGCAUGUUUGCCGCUGCAAGACGGUACGAUAAAAAAAAUUCUCAUUUGGACUUCUCCAAUACCGUAAAACGGUGGCUACGGUACGCUCCUGAGCGGGUGGGAGGGGUGAGGAGGACACCUACUUCACCGGUGGAAAUAUGAAUUUGACAAGGCAGAAAGAGUGUUUUAUGGUCUCACUGUCUAAAUAAAGUUUAAAUUAAUUAAUGAAAGUGUGAUUGUUCUUAUUUGAUUUGAUUGUUGCCAUUCGUGUGGCCGAGAACCGUGAAUAAAAUGUAUAAAUAUCAUCUACAACAUGGUUUUUUGACAAAUGAGUUUGAAAAAAACAUGCUUACCAACUUUAAGGUUUCCCUG
rnacentral:lncRNA from 1 species